rnacentral:rRNA from 1 species
UACGUAGGGUGCAAGCGUUAAUCGGAAUUACUGGGCGUAAAGCGUGCGCAGGCGGUUUUGUAAGACUGUCGUGAAAUCCCCGGGCUUAACCUGGGAAUGGCGAUGGUGACUGCAGGGCUAGAGUUUGGCAGAGGGGGGUAGAAUUCCACGUGUAGCAGUGAAAUGCGUAGAGAUGAUGGAGGAACACCGAUGGCGAAGGCAGCCCCCUGGGUCAAAAACUGACGUUCAUGCACGAAAGCGUGGGGAGCAAACAGG